rnacentral:tRNA from 1 species
GGGCCGGUAGUUCAGUGGUAGAAUUGUUCAAACUCUAAUACCCGACUUGCACUCGGGCGGUCGCGGGUUCGAAUCCCGCCCGGUCCA